CCUACGUGUGGCAGCAGUGGGGAAUCUUCCGCAAUGGGCGAAAGCCUGACGGAGCAACGCCGCGUGAUCGAAUGAAGGCCUUCGGGUUGUAAAGAUCUGUUGACAGGGACGAAUAAGCAAUGCGAAUAGUUUUGUGUAUGACGGUACCUGUUUAGAAAGCUCCGGCUAACUACGUGCCAGCAGCCGCGGUAAUACGUAGGGAGCAAGCGUUGUCCGGAAUUACUGGGCGUAAAGGGCGCGUAGGUGGGCGCUUAAGUCAGGUGUGAAAACUCCGGGCUCAACCUGGAGACUGCACUUGAAACUGGGUGUCUGGAGGGCAGGAGAGGAAAGUGGAAUUCCUAGUGUAGCGGUGAAAUGCGUAGAUAUUAGGAAGAACACCGGAGGCGAAGGCGGUUUACUGGACUGCAACUGACACUGAGGCUCGAAAGCGUGGGGAGCAAACAGGAUUAGAUACCCCAGUAGUC
rnacentral:rRNA from 1 species